UGCNNGUCGAGGGGUAACAGGGAGAAGCUUGCUUUUCUGCUGACGACCGGCGCACGGGUGCGUAACGCGUAUGCAACCUACCUUCUACAGGGGGAUAGCCCAGAGAAAUUUGGAAUAAUACCCCAUACGAUCAAUGAUUGGCAUCGAUUAUUGAAGAAAACUCCGGUGGUAGAAGAUGGGCAUGCGUCCUAUUAGUUAGUUGGUGAGGUAACGGCUCACCAAGACUUCGAUAGGUAGGGGCCCUGAGAGGGGGAUCCCCCACACUGGUACUGAGACACGGACCAGACUCCUACGGGAAGCAGCAGUGAGGAAUAUUGGACAAUGGGGGAAACCCUGAUGCAGCGAUGCCGCGUGAGUGAAGAAGGCCCUUGGGUUGUAAAACUCUUUCGUCGGGGAAGAAAAUGACUGUACCCGAAUAAGAAGGUCCGGCUAACUUCGUGCCAGCAGCCGCGGUAAUACGAAGGGACCUAGCGUAGUUCGGAAUUACUGGGCUUAAAGAGCUCGUAGGUGGUUAAAAAAGUUGAUGGUGAAAUCCCAAGGCUCAACCUUGGAACUGCCAUCAAAACUUUUUAGCUAGAGUGUGAUAGAGGUAAGUGGAAUUUCUAGUGUAGAGGUGAAAUUCGUAGAUAUUAGAAAGACCACCAAAUGCGAAGGCAACUUACUGGGUCACUACUGACACUGANGANCGAAAGCAUGGGUAGCGAANANGANUAGAUACCCUCGUAGUCCAUGCCGUAAACGAUGUGUGCUAGACGUUGGAAAUAUAUUUUUCAGUGUCGCAGCGAAAGCNUUAANCACACCGNCUGGGGNNUACGANCGCNNGGNUAAAACUCAAAUGAAUUGACGGGGACCCGCACAAGCAGUGGANCNUGNGGNUUAAUUCGAAGA
rnacentral:rRNA from 1 species